CGGGCCCUGAAUCAGGACCAGUAGUUUGCUGUAUCGUUAGUUUUAAAAAAGAGCCAAGAGCUAAUUCUUCUUAUGAUUGGCUAUUCAGUACCAUAGUAAGGAAUGGCCCCUUCAUUUGGAAAAAACAGUC
rnacentral:snoRNA from 1 species